GAUGAACGCUGGCGGCGUGCUUAACACAUGCAAGUCGAACGGAAAGGCCCAAGCUUGCUUGGGUACUCGAGUGGCGAACGGGUGAGUAACACGUGGGUGAUCUGCCCUGCACUUCGGGAUAAGCCUGGGAAACUGGGUCUAAUACCGGAUAGGACGAUGGUUUGGAUGCCAUUGUGGAAAGUUUUUUCGGUGUGGGAUGAGCUCGCGGCCUAUCAGCUUGUUGGUGGGGUAAUGGCCUGCCAAGGCGUCGACGGGUAGCCGGCCUGAGAGGGUGUACGGCCACAUUGGGACUGAGAUACGGCCCAGACUCCUACGGGAGGCAGCAGUGGGGAAUAUUGCACAAUGGGCGCAAGCCUGAUGCAGCGACGCCGCGUGGGGGAUGACGGCCUUCGGGUUGUAAACUCCUUUCGCUAGGGACGAAGCGUUUUUGUGACGGUACCUGGAGAAGAAGCACCGGCUAACUACGUG
rnacentral:rRNA from 1 species